GAGAAGGCUCACUAUGACUAAUCCUCGGGCAUUUGUCAAGCCCAAGCUUCCCAUGGGAGGAGAUUUUUACUAAGCACUGUAGCGGUUAGAGCAAACUAGGACAUUUGAUGUAUUUCCACAUGGAUAACAGCAUUACAUGACAAUUGAGUAAACUUACAUUAUCUGUUAAUUGACAGCGUAGGUCUGCCUGGCUCAAGGGGAAGAGACAACUGUGUGAAAGCUGAGGGAGAAAAGAUGAUCUGGAGAUCGCCGUGCUAUUUUAUUUGUUAUAGAAACACAGAACUGUGUACUGAAAACAGAGAGUUACCAUGUGCAAAUAUUUCUCUAUAAGAUUUCUGGAUCAUGGUCUCAUGGCAGCAAAUAUGUCCUUGAUAUGGAGGUAUCCAGGAAGAGUAUUAGGCUUGACCCCCAACAUGGAGCAGAAGUAAUGGAUCUAGUGUUGAGAGGAUGGUGUACAUCACACAGCAGCAGCCUCAGACCAGUGGGUCAAGAGGAGUUCAUUGAGAACUGGUGGUAUUUACAAAGAAUGUUGGCAUGAUCCUGAAUGCAGGGGCAGGAGAAUACCUAGGCUUUGGAUUGCACAGAAUCAGGAGACACGGGAUGAAGUGUAAGGUGUAUGGUUGCUGAUUGGUACAAACUUAUUGCCAU
rnacentral:lncRNA from 1 species